UACGUAGGUGGCAAGCGUUGUCCGGAUUUAUUGGGUUUAAAGGGUGCGUAGGCGGCUUUGUAAGUCAGCGGUGAAAAUUUUGGGCUUAACCCAGAAACUGCCAUUGAUACUGCAGAGCUUGAAUUCAAACGAGGUAGGCGGAAUUGAAGGUGUAGCGGUGAAAUGCAUAGAUAUCUUCAAGAACACCGAUAGCGAAGGCAGCUUACUAGAAUGAUAUUGACGCUGAGGCACGAAAGCGUGGGGAGCAAGCAGG
rnacentral:rRNA from 1 species